AGCUCUUUCCAAGAUCAAAUGUGGCCGAGCAGAGAGGAGAGGAGGAAACGCAAACGCAGGUGGUUCCUCGCUUCCAGCUUUAAGGGGAGCAUGUUGCUAAGGAUGCAGUUCUGAGCGUUUGAGACAGCGAAGCAUCUGCGAAGAGUCCGAUUGCUCCUAGAAAGUGCUAGGGAUCCUCCGCGCUGCGGGCAGGUCUCCGUGCUACGGCGUUGGCUGCUCCGCUUUGACCAGAGGAAGACGGUGGAGGAGAAGACAGCCCUACCUUAUUCGCCCGCGGGGCUGCGGGGCACCUGUGCGCCUCGGCCCCGCUUCCUUUGUUUCUCCUGCACUCCGCAGCCCCUGCGCCCAUGGCCGGCCUCCGUGGCAGCUGGGCACCAGGCAGCCCAGCGGGCUGGCUGCUUGGCGUUUCCAGAGCUGCUGCCGCUAGAAGCUCCAGCUGCCUUCCCGAGAAUUCGUCGCGCUCCCAGGCGAGCCGCCGGGCCAGGCCUCACGCUGGAGCUGGAGGGCCCUGGUGGCCUGCUCCGCCAGUUCGCCUCUGCCUGGACUCCACGCAGACCCUUAUCUUCGGCCAAAGAACCCCUUCUGA